rnacentral:rRNA from 1 species
UACGUAGGUGGCAAGCGUUGUCCGGAUUUACUGGGCGUAAAGAGCGCGCAGGCGGUCGUUCAAGUCGCGUGUGAAAGCCCCCGGCUCAACUGGGGAGGGUCACGCGAUACUGAUCGACUGGAAGGCAGGAGAGGGUAGUGGAAUUCCCGGUGUAGUGGUGAAAUGCGUAGAUAUCUGGAGGAACACCGGUGGCGAAGGCGGCAUCCUGGACCAAUAUUGACGCUGAGGAGCGAAAGCCAGGGGAGCAAACGGG